AUUUUGAAGCUUGCUUCGGAAGAAAGUUAGUGGCGGACGGGUGAGUAACGCGUGAGCAACCUGCCUUUGUGAGGGGGAUAACACAGGGAAACUUGUGCUAAUACCGCAUGACGCAUGAGGAAGACAUCUUCUUUAUGUUAAAGGAGCAAUCCGCACAAAGAUGGGCUCGCGUCUGAUUAGAUAGUUGGUGGGGUAACGGCCUACCAAGUCGACGAUCAGUAGCCGGACUGAGAGGUUGAACGGCCACAUUGGAACUGAGAAACGGUCCAGACUCC
rnacentral:rRNA from 1 species